AUACAAGUGUACUGCAACCCACAAUACACCUAACCUUUCAUUCAGUUCAUACCUCAUUGACAGAAUUCUACUGAAUCAUCACAAAUAUAGUUUAAAACGCAGAAAAACAUAAUUUUUAGCCCCAAGUAAACCCAUAACUGUAACUAUUCAUUUCUCUACCAUACAAGUGUGCUGCAACCCACAAUACACCUAACCUUUCACUCAGUUCAUACUACAUUGACAUAUUUGGACUGAAUCAUCACAAAUAUAGUUUAAAAAGCAGAAAAACAUCAUUUUAACCCCCUAAUAAGACUGUAACUGUAAUUUUUCAUUUCUCUACCAUACAAGUGUGCUGCAACCCAAAAUACAGCUAACCUUAAACACAAAACUGAAAAUAAUAGAAACAUAAAUCAAAAAAGCAGGAAAAUGUUAUUCUACGCCGUAAGUAGGCGCAUAACUGUAACUUGUGAGUAUCGAUUAUAUAAAAAAAUAACAUGGCAUAACCAUCGCGCGAUAAAUGAGGCCUGAUAACAGCCCGAUAUAACAACAAUAUUAUAAAUAGAGAACCAUAUAAAUACAUAAAUAUUUAAAAAGUGA